CAGUAGCCGCGGUAAUACGUAGGUGGCAAGCGUUGUCCGGAAUUAUUGGGCGUAAAGGGCUCGCAGGCGGUUUCUUAAGUCUGAUGUGAAAGCCCCCGGCUCAACCGGGGAGGGUCAUUGGAAACUGGGAAACUUGAGUGCAGAAGAGGUGAGUGGAAUUCCACGUGUAGCGGUGAAAUGCGUAGAGAUGUGGAGGAACACCAGUGGCGAAGGCGACUCUCUGGUCUGUAACUGACGCUGAGGAGCGAAAGCGUGGGGAGCGAACAGGAUUAGAUACCCCCGUAGUCCCUGUCUCUUAUAC
rnacentral:rRNA from 1 species